rnacentral:rRNA from 1 species
UACGUAGGGAGCAAGCGUUGUCCGGAAUCAUUGGGCGUAAAGAGCGUGUAGGCGGCCACUUAAGUCCUGCGUGAAAUCUUGCGGCUCAACCGCAAGCGGUCGUGGGAAACUGGGUGGCUAGAGUGCGGGAGAGGAGAGUGGAAUUCCUGGUGUAGCGGUGGAAUACGCAGAUAUCAGGAAGAACACCCGUGGCGAAGGCGGCUCUCUGGAACGCAACUGACGCUGAGACGCGAAAGCGUGGGGAGCAAACAGG